AUUGAACGCUGGCGGCAGGCUUAACACAUGCAAGUCGAACGAGUGGCGGACGGGUGAGUAAUGAUUGGGAAUCUAGCUUAUGGAGGGGGAUAACUACUGGAAAAUGUAGCUAAUACCGCAUACCAUAGGAUGAACACAAAUGGGAUUAGCUUGUAGGGGGGGUAAAGGCUCACCUAGGCGACGAUCCCUAGCUGGGCUGAGAGGAUGAGCAGCAACACUGGAACUGAGACACGGCCAAGACUCCUACGGGAGGCAGCAGUGGGGAAUAUUGCACAAUGGGCGCAAGCCUGAUGCAGCCAUGCCGCGUGUAUGAAGAAGGCCUUCGGGUUGUAAAGUACUUUCAGCGGGGAGGCGUUACCCGCAGAAGAAGCACCGGCUAACUCCGUGCCAGCAGCCGCGGUAAUUC
rnacentral:rRNA from 1 species